ACAAAGAAGGAACAACAAGAAAU
rnacentral:piRNA from 1 species